GACGAACCGUGCGAACGUUGUUCGGAAUCACUGGGCUUAAAGGGCGCGUAGGCGGGUGCUCAAGUCUGUGGUGAAAUCCUCCGGCUCAACCGGAGAACUGCCAUGGAUACUGGGCGUCUCGAGUGUGGUAGGGGUAUGCGGAACUAUCGGUGGAGCGGUGAAAUGCGUUGAUAUCGAUAGGAACUCCGGUGGCGAAGGCGGCAUACUGGACCACCACUGACGCUGAUGCGCGAAAGCCAGGGGAGCAAACGGG
rnacentral:rRNA from 1 species